ensembl:lncRNA
AGCAUCUGAAUUCAAGGACCACCUGGUUUCUCCUAAGCCUGGUCUUUGCUUCAGUUUUAAGGUGAAGGAGUUAAAGAACAUUUUAGAACUGAUGAAAAUGGCCAGGAGUAGAGUAAAGGUGUACUACACCAUCAACGAUGUUCAUGCAGAGCAUGUCCAAGACAUUCUACGCCAAAUUUGACAGCUGUCUUAUUCAACUAAUAACUUUAUUUAAAUAUAAGGCUGGUGGUUUAAGUAUGUCAGCAAAGGUUUUGGCUGAAAUUUAAAACUUUCACAAUUGUUACGUCCCAUCUGCGAGUGGCCAGGCCAUAACACAAGGGAGAUCCAUCCUCGUUAGACUACAAGCAGCAC